AGUGAACGCUGGCGGUAGGCCUAACACAUGCAAGUCGAACGGCAGCACAGUAAGAGCUUGCUCUUACGGGUGGCGAGUGGCGGACGGGUGAGGAAUACAUCGGAAUCUACUUUUUCGUGGGGGAUAACGUAGGGAAACUUACGCUAAUACCGCAUACGACCUACGGGUGAAAGCAGGGGAUCUUCGGACCUUGCGCGAUUGAAUGAGCCGAUGUCGGAUUAGAUAGUUGGCGGGGUAAAGGCCCACCAAGGCGACGAUCCGUAGCUGGUCUGAGAGGAUGAUCAGCCACACUGGAACUGAGACACGGUCCAGACUCCUACGGGAGGCAGCAGUGGGGAAUAUUGGGCAAUGGGCGCAAGCCUGAUCCAGCCAUACCGCGUGGGUGAAGAAGGCCUUCGGGUUGUAAAGCCCUUUUGUUGGGAAAGAAAAGCAGCAGGUUAAUACCCCGCUGUUCUGACGGUACCCAAAGAAUAAGCACCGGCUAACUUCGUG
rnacentral:rRNA from 1 species